rnacentral:rRNA from 1 species
UACGUAGGGGGCUAGCGUUAUCCGGAAUUACUGGGCGUAAAGGGUGCGUAGGUGGUUUCUUAAGUCAGAGGUGAAAGGCUACGGCUCAACCGUAGUAAGCCUUUGAAACUGGGAAACUUGAGUGCAGGAGAGGAGAGUGGAAUUCCUAGUGUAGCGGUGAAAUGCGUAGAUAUUAGGGGGAACACCAGUUGCGAAGGCGGCUCUCUGGACUGUAACUGACACUGAGGCACGAAAGCGUGGGGAGCAAACAGG